rnacentral:rRNA from 1 species
AGUGAACGCUGGCGGUAGGCCUAACACAUGCAAGUCGAACGGCAGCACAGUAAGAGCUUGCUCUUACGGGUGGCGAGUGGCGGACGGGUGAGGAAUACAUCGGAAUCUACUUUUUCGUGGGGGAUAACGUAGGGAAACUUACGCUAAUACCGCAUACGACCUACGGGUGAAAGCAGGGGAUCUUCGGACCUUGCGCGAUUGAAUGAGCCGAUGUCGGAUUAGCUAGUUGGCGGGGUAAAGGCCCACCAAGGCGACGCUCCGUAGCUGGUCUGAGAGGAUGAUCAGCAACACUGGAACUGAGACACGGACCAAACUCCGACGGGAGGCAGCGGUGGGGAAUAUUGGACAAGGGGCGCAAGCCUGAUCCAGCCAUACCGCGUGGGUGAAGAAGGCCUUCGGGUUGUAAAGCCCUUUUGUUGGGAAAGAAAAGCGGCAGGUUAAUACCCCGCUGUUCGGACGGUACCCAAAGAAUAAGCACCGGCUAACUUCGU